rnacentral:rRNA from 1 species
GUACACUCCUACGGGAGGCAGCAGUGGGGAAUAUUGGACAAUGGGCGCAAGCCUGAUCCAGCCAUGCCGCGUGAGUGAUGAAGGCCCUAGGGUUGUAAAGCUCUUUCACCGGUGAAGAUAAUGACGGUAACCGGAGAAGAAGCCCCGGCUAACUUCGUGCCAGCAGCCGCGGUAAUACGAAGGGGGCUAGCGUUGUUCGGAUUUACUGGGCGUAAAGCGCACGUAGGCGGACUAUUAAGUCAGGGGUGAAAUCCCGGGGCUCAACCCCGGAACUGCCUUUGAUACUGGUAGUCUUGAGUUCGAGAGAGGUGAGUGGAAUUCCGAGUGUAGAGGUGAAAUUCGUAGAUAUUCGGAGGAACACCAGCGGCGAAGGCGGCUCACUGGCUCGAUACUGACGCUGAGGUGCGAAAGCGUGGGGAGCAAACAGGAUUAGAAACCCGGGUAGUCCCAUGA